rnacentral:piRNA from 1 species
UGCUCAUGGAUAGGCAGGAUCA